rnacentral:rRNA from 1 species
UACGGAGGAUGCGAGCGUUAUCCGGAUUUAUUGGGUUUAAAGGGUGCGUAGGUUGUUUUUUAAGUCAGCGGUGAAAGUUUGUGGCUCAACCAUAAAAUUGCCGUUGAAACUGGAAGACUUGAGUGUGUUUGAGGUAGGCGGAAUGCGUGGUGUAGCGGUGAAAUGCGUAGAUAUCAGGAGGAACACCGGCGGCGAAGGCGGCUUACUGGACUGUAACUGACGUUGAGGCUCGAAGGCGUGGGGAGCAAACAGG